rnacentral:rRNA from 1 species
AUUGAACGCUGGCGGCAUGCCUUACACAUGCAAGUCGAACGGCAUCGCGGGAAAGCUUGCUUUCCUGGCGGCGAGUGGCGAACGGGUGAGUAACACAUCGGAACGUACCGGCUAGUGGGGGAUAACCCGUCGAAAGACGGGCUAAUACCGCAUACGCUCUUCGGAGGAAAGCAGGGGACCUUUGGGCCUUGCGCUAGCCGAGCGGCCGAUGUCCGAUUAGCUAGUUGGUAGGGUAAAGGCCUACCAAGGCGACGAUCGGUAGCGGGUCUGAGAGGACGAUCCGCCACACUGGGACUGAGACACGGCCCAGACUCCUACGGGAGGCAGCAGUGGGGAAUCUUGGACAAUGGGGGCAACCCUGAUCCAGCAAUGCCGCGUGGGUGAAGAAGGCCUUCGGGUUGUAAAGCCCUUUCGGCAGGGAAGAAAUCGGCGGGGCGAAUAACCCUGCUGGAUGACGGUACCUGCAGAAGAAGCACCGGCUAACUACGUG